GAUGAACGCUGGCGGCGUGCCUAAUACAUGCAAGUCGAGCGAACAGACGAGGAGCUUGCUCCUCUGACGUUAGCGGCGGACGGGUGAGUAACACGUGGAUAACCUACCUAUAAGACUGGGAUAACUUCGGGAAACCGGAGCUAAUACCGGAUAAUAUAUUGAACCGCAUGGUUCAAUAGUGAAAGACGGUUUUGCUGUCACUUAUAGAUGGAUCCGCGCCGCAUUAGCUAGUUGGUAAGGUAACAGCUUCCAAGGCAACGAUGCGUAGCCGACCUGAGAGGGUGAUCGGCCACACUGGAACUGAGACACGGUCCAGACUCCUACGGGAGGCAGCAGUAGGGAAUCUUCCGCAAUGGGCGAAAGCCUGACGGAGCAACGCCGCGUGAGUGAUGAAGGUCUUCGGAUCGUAAAACUCUGUUAUUAGGGAAGAACAAAUGUGUAAGUAACUAUGCACGUCUUGACGGUACCUAAUCAGAAAGCCACGGCUAACUACGUG
rnacentral:rRNA from 1 species